rnacentral:rRNA from 1 species
UACAGAGGUCUCAACCGUUGUUCGGAUUCAUUGGGCGUAAAGGGUGCGUAGGCGGUCGCGUAAGUCAGGUGUGAAAUCUCAGGGCUCAACCCUGAAACUGCACUUGAUACUGCGUGGCUCGGGUACUGGAGAGGAGACUGGAAUUUACGGUGUAGCAGUGAAAUGCGUAGAUAUCGUAAGGAAGACCAGUGUCGAAGGCGAGUCUCUGGACAGUUACCGACGCUGAGGCACGAAGGUCAGGGGAGCAAACGGG